rnacentral:lncRNA from 1 species
UCAUCUUGGAUCUAAACAUGUGUUGUGGCACUUUCAUUUGAUUAUAGGAAUCAUUAAAAGAUGGGAAAUCACUAUAGAGAUAGUGAACUCUUAAGAACAACAUUACAUAUCCAUUAACUAAAGCUUAUCCAACAGCAGGAUAAUCGUCACUUAGAGAAGAAGGGUAUGAGAUACCAUGACGAUUGGCUUUAGUGCAAGUGGGAGAUUGA